GACAUAGCUAACGAGUUUGUUCACUGGACCCGGCAAAAGACAGGGAGAGCUCUUGAGUGGAUUGGAAGACAGUCACGGUCAAGACAGUGAAUGAGAAGGCGGCACUGUGAUGCCUUAGAUUACUGGGGUGAAGGGACAAAGGUCACAGUGACCUCAGAACCGCCUGUUCCUCCGGUUCUGGUCCCGAUGGUUUGGUUCAGUCCUGCAUCWGGAGAUAAAGUCACCCUGAGCUGCCUGGCUCUUGACUUCUACCCACAGAGUCUCUCUUUUGAGUGGAGCGAUGCGAGUGGAGCGCCGCUGGAUUCUGAACGUUAUCCUGCAGUGGAAGCAAACAACAGAUUUACAGAAGUCAGUUUGGUUCAAAUGUCCAGAUCUGAAGCAAAUCUAAAGUCUUACCAAUGUUCAGUGACUCAUYCUGGUGGCACCAAGACUGUGAAUGCAAAAAGGGCCUCCUGUCCYCCAAAACUGACUUUGCUCUCGGUGACAACUGGAGACGGUCAGACACUAGUGUGCGUCAUUGAGGAUUUUUGUCCUGAAAAUCUGUCAGUCAAAUGGAAAAAGAAUGGCAAUGAGGUGUCUGGACACAAUGAAUGGCCUCCCAAAAAACUCGGAGACUCGUAUUCAGCCGCCAGCGUYCUAAAAUUGAAGAGCUCUGACUGGGAYAGUGMAGCUGUUUACUCAUGUGAAGUGACCCACCUCGGAAAAACUUACACAAAGAAAGCUUCAAAAGCUCCCAUCACAGUGACACUGAACCCUCUGAGUCCUAAAAAACUGUUCAGCAACAACCAGGCAGAGUUGGACUGCGUCGUCUCCGGACAGGACAAUGAAAUUGUGUCAGCGACUGAAAUCACCUGGGAGAUUAAUGGAGAACGUGUGAGCRGCAACAUUAAGGAAGCAACAAUGCAGUACAGCAAACACAGCAUCAUCACUUUUAAUUCCUCCGACUGGAGGACAGUGAGCAAAGUGAGAUGUUCUGCUGUAGCAGAAGACRUGGAACCAGUUAUUCAAGACCUGACUGUCAACAAUGGAGACGGCACAGAGCCAAAAGUAACAGUCCACGUGCUUCCAGARAAGGAUAUUGGCCGAGAAGCAUCGGCUCAGGUCACUCUGGUGUGUUUGGUUUCCAGUGACGUGCUUCAGGACUACUAUAUCGCCUGGACUGAAGAUGUCGAACAAAGUAGCUCAGUGUAUAAUGAYGGCACCGACUUUCCACCAAGAAAGACCAAAAAUGGCUACUCMGUUGUAAGUGUUCACACCACCACCAGGGAGAAGUGGAGCGGAGGCUACGUCUUCUAUUGCAACGUGUGGCCUGCCGGCCGUGGGGAUCGCAUGAAACCCAGCGGAGUGUCUCAGGCCAUGGGUAACGCUGCUGAGUGUGGCGACUCUAUUCAGCUUUAAACGUAACAUUGUUUUGCAAAUGUUUUGUCCUUGUGGAAUUUAUGUCUUUUGUCAGUAUUCACAAGUCAUUUUGUCUGUUUUUUUGUUGUUCUGUUCAGUUUUCAACAAAGAUUUGUCUCUGUCAAACUGUCCAGCUGUCAAAUGUUUUAAAUAAAUAUUGCAUGGAAAUUGUUGCCUGCUUGUGAGUAAAUAACAAUGGAGAAAAUAGAUGACAUUCAGAGUUUUAAAAUAUUGGGAAUGUUAAUAAAAUCAAUAAUUUUUUUUAUUUAUUACAAGUUCAACUAGCUUAGAAAACCUUCAGCCAACCUACCAUCACAGUAUUUUCUUUAUAUUGAUCCAAUGAGAAAGAACUGAGGUUCAAGAUACUUAUGUGCAAGCAAAACCCAUCCAUUCAUUGAUUAAACCUGCUUAUCCUUGCUUGGCCACAGUAUGGCAGGUGCCUCUUGGUCAUGAGGUGAAAGGCCAAGUGGACCCCAGACAGGUCACCACAGGAAAGACCMUGCACACACAGACACCACUUAAACUCACAGCCGUGUUUUUGGACUUUGGGAGGAAGUCAGAGUGUAUGGAGAGAACCAACACAUGCACAGGGUGAACAUGCAGAGUCCAUGCAGAAAGAUCCCAGGAUGARAUUCUAGUCCAGGACCUUCUUGUUGCUAGGCAGCGAUAAUAAACUAUGCAUAUUUUUUGCAUUCAGAAAUAUUUUUUCUAUAUUGCAUGAAUCAGUGCCUUACA